rnacentral:rRNA from 1 species
AGUCUGGUGCCAGCAGCCGCGGUAAUUCCAGCUCUCAAAAUGCAUAGAAUCAUUGCUGCGGUUAAAAAGCUCGUAGUUGGAUCUGUGCUGGCGGGUCGGUCCACCUUCGGGUGCGCACUGAUUUCGCCGGCUUUCCUGCUGUAUUUGGCCCUGUGCCUUUCAACGGGUGCAGUGUCCAGUGCAGCAAGUUUACCUUGAACAAAUCAGAGUGCUUCAAACAGGCGUUUCGCUUGAAUGUUCGUGCAUGGAAUAAUAGAAGAGGAUUUCGGUUCUAUUUUAUUGGUUUUAUAGACUGAGAUAAUGGUUAACAGAGACUAACGGGGGCAUUAGUAUUGCUACGUGAGAGGUGAAAUUCUUGGACCGUAGCAAGACUGACUACAGCGAAAGCAUUUGCCAAGAAAGUCUUCAUUAAUCAAGAACGAAAGUCAGAGGUUCGAAGGCGAUCAGAUACCGCCCUAGUUCUGACCGUAAACGAUGCCAACUAGUGAUCCGCCGGUGGAACAUUCGCCCUGGUGGGGAACUUCCCGGAAACGAAAGUCUUCCGGUUCCGGGGGAAGUAUGGUUGCAAAGCUGAAACUUAAAGGAAUUGACGGAAGGGCACCACCAGGAGUGGAGCCUGCGGCUUAAUUUGACACAACACGGGAAAACUCACCCGGCCCGGACACCGUAAGGAUUGACAGAUUGAUAGCUCUUUCAUGAUUCGGUGGAUGGUGGUGCAUGGCCGUUCUUAGUUCGUGGAGCGAUUUGUCUGGUUUAUUCCGAUAACGAGCGAGACUCUGGCCUACUAAAUAGUUUACACAUUGCUUCUGUGUGCAUAACUUCUUAGAGGAUUUUCGGUGUUCAGCCGCAAGAAAUUGAGCAAUAACAGGUCUGUGAUGCCCUUAGAUGUCCGGGGCUGCACGCGCGCUACACUGGCAAAAUCAGCGUGCUUGUCCUUCCCCGAAAGGGGUUGGUAAACUCGUGAAAAUUUGCCGUGAUUGGGAUCGGAAAUUGCAAUUAUUUUCCGUGAACGAGGAAUUCCAAGUAAGUGCGAGUCAUCAACUCGCGUUGAUUACGUCCCUGCCCUUUGUACACACCGCCCGUCGCUGCCCGGGACUGAGCCGUUUCGAGAAACUUGGAGACCGCUGAUCUGGUAACUUCGAUUGCCAUUUUGGUGGGAACCAAUUUAA